GACGUAGGGCGCGAGCGUUGUCCGGAUUUAUUGGGCGUAAAGAGCUCGUAGGCGGCUUGUUGCGUCGACCGUGAAAACCCGGGGCUCAACUUCGGGCUUGCGGUCGAUACGGGCGGGCUAGAGUUCGGUAGGGGAGACUGGAAUUCCUGGUGUAGCGGUGAAAUGCGCAGAUAUCAGGAGGAACACCGGUGGCGAAGGCGGGUCUCUGGGCCGAUGACUGACGCUGAGGAGCGAAAGCGUGGGAGCG
rnacentral:rRNA from 1 species